CCUACGGGGGGCUGCAGUGGGGAAUAUUGGACAAUGGGGGCAACCCUGAUCCAGCCAUGCCGCGUGUGUGAAGAAGGCCCUCGGGUUGUAAAGCACUUUCAGUGAGGAAGAACGCCUGGUGGUUAAUACCCAUCAGGAAAGACAUCACUCACAGAAGAAGCACCGGCUAACUCCGUGCCAGCAGCCGCGGUAAUACGGAGGGUGCGAGCGUUAAUCGGAAUUACUGGGCGUAAAGCGCGCAUAGGUGGCUUGAUAAGCCGGUUGUGAAAGCCCCGGGCUCAACCUGGGAACGGCAUCCGGAACUGUCAAGCUAGAGUGCAGGAGAGGAAGGUAGAAUUCCCGGUGUAGCGGUGAAAUGCGUAGAGAUCGGGAGGAAUACCAGUGGCGAAGGCGGCCUUCUGGACUGACACUGACACUGAGGUGCGAAAGCGUGGGUAGCAAACAGGAUUAGAUACCCGUGUAGUC
rnacentral:rRNA from 1 species